UAAUAAGCGACACGUGAUAUGACAACAGAUGUGACAACUUCCUCAUAAUGACGUCAUCCUGAUACAUUACGACAUUCUAGAAGACGGCUUUCACAACGAAUUUACAGAUUUUGAUUCUUAAAGAGAAAUUGGAUCACGUUUGAAUAUUGUUAGAUACAACACCAAGCAUCCUUUCGACCAAGGCAAAGACAGCAUCAACAUGAAGUAUUCUUCAAUAUUUUGCAUUUGUGUCUCGUUGCAUGCAGCGUUCUUACUCUCAACCAGCCAUGCAGCGGGGGAGGUUUCCACAACGGCACCUGGAAUCCCUCAAGCACUUGCUACACAACCAAAUAAUACCACGCAAGCGCCAUCCGCGCAAGUUAAUGAAACCACCCAGGCACCUACAACAGCACCAAAUGAAACCACCCAGGCACCUACAACAAAACUAAAUGAAACCACCCAGGCACCUACAACAAAAGUAAAUGAAACCACCCAGGCACCUACAACAGCACCAAAUGGAACCACCCAGGCACCUGCCACCGAUAUCAACACCAUGGUACCGGAGCUAACAACCGUGAUGGACAUGAGCACACCAGAUUUAGAGACCAGUGCACCAGACUGUAACGACACCACAGAAAACUGCACCGAGGCAACGCAGCCCACUGCAACAGAUCUGAACCCUGAUACAGACGCUCCCACCAUCAUGCCAGAGGAUAUGACUACGUUAGUGCUACCAAACAUGACUACAGCGCAACCAGACAAUGCUACAGCACUACCAAACAUGACAACCAAUCGCCCGAGCACCGAUGACACCGAUGCAUCUACCAUUGCUCCGUAUACUACCUCCAAAGCCACACCCACUCAUUCACCAGACACGCCCAAGCCAUCUACAGUGGCACCAGAGAAGACAAAACAGCCAAUAAAACCAACUACAGAAAAGCCAACGGAACCAGCGAAGGUGCCAACCACCGGUGCAUCAACCACCAAGCCUGAUGAACCAAACAAGACUACAUUACAUCAUGGAAACACAGCUGUUGUUGUUGGUCUGGUUGUCACUGCUAUACUUCUUGUAUGUGUUGUGGGUGUCAUCGUCUACAUCAGGCAGAGGAGAUUGAGAAACAGCUAUGGAAGACUGAAUGAAGAGACGGAAGACAGUGGAUGGUCAGCUUUCUCAAAGAACCCCAUUUACAGAGGAGACAGGAAUGAGCCGUAUUUGUGAGCAGUCUGCGCACACACACACACACACUCACGCACACGCAAGCCCCACAUGACUAUCAGCUGUUAUGAGAUGACCCAAAGUGACCCUAAAGCAUCUUAUCCCAAGCUAUUCAUUGAUCAGAGGCCAUCUUGGAUACAACAUCCUUCAUAUGCCAGCUUAUUAAUAUCCACUUAGCUCCAAACUGCAGAUGAAACAGAGGAAUUAUCAACUUUCUUUGCUACAGCAGAGUAGCAUCUGAACACCCCUCAAGAGAGGAAACACUCAACUGACCAGAUCAAGAGAUUUUGAUAGAGUUCAAAUGUAAUUUUAUUGAGAUAUUGAAAAAAGGAGGGUUUAUGAUUAAAUGACAGUUUAGAGGUUUUAUCUUGCUGCAAGACUUUGGUUUAUCUUCCAAUCUUGAUGGUAUUCUUAUUUGCAUCUUCACAUUCAUCCAUCCAUCUUAUUCAAGAGUAAUUUUUUUUUUCAUGACUAAAUUGCUGAGUUCAUCUUCCAAUUUUGAUGGUAUUCUUAUUUACAUCUAUUACAUCCAUCCAUUCAUCCUAUUCAAGAUUGUUUUCUCUUCAUGAUUAAAUCUUUUUAUUUUCUGAGAGUUUGAGAGGUGUUAAGUCUAUGGAAACUUUAGAACUUAGAACCCUUCUGGCUCUCAGCGGACGCUUUAAGUUUUCCAUCCAUUAUUGUCAGUUUUUCUUUUGAGUGUAAGUUCAAUUUGCAUAUAUAGUUUAUUUCUAAUUCUACCUAUAUUAAGUGGAAUGUGCAUGUGGAAAUUAUAACAAGCAACUAUUUGUACUUUCAUGCUAUCAUCUUUUCUGGUACUGUAUAUAUGUACUUUAACUAGUACUACCCAAUAUAGUAUUCAUGUAUUAUAAGUAUGCUUUCUCUAUGUGUACUACUUUAUCUUUGUGUACUAUGUCAACUGCUUGUAGUGGUAAUUUUACUCCUAUUAACUUCAAGACAGACUAGAUUCUACUAUUAUGUAUUAUAUUAGUGCUAAAUGUCCAGUUGGGCCUGAAUGUUUACAUGCACCUAUUAGAAAAGCAAAACACAUUAUCACAACUUCACUAAUACCUGCCAACUUGUCACUUUAAGAAGAAAGACAAGAUUUGUCUCUGUUUAGUGUAUAGUAUAAACAUUACUUAUAAUCACUCUGAGAAGUUUAUAUACACGUAUGUGACUCUUGAUAGGAAUGAGUGCAGUUGUGAGAAUGCAAGUAAUUUUUUUAAAUUUCCAAGUGUAUGUAAACUUUCAUGCCCGACUGUACUUCUUAAAAGACUACUAUUCUAACUACUAUUAUGACUAUGACUAACACUCCUAUUGCAUGUUCUACUGCCUGCAUGAUUUUUUGCAUGUACUGUUUCUGCUUUUUUACAUUUCAUCUCAACGAUAAUGUAACAUAUGUUUCCUUUCUCUUGCUGUUCCAUUUUGUUGAAGACAAAAUGUGACAGUCUAUACCAGCUUUAACACUAUUAAAAUAUGUCUUUUCAUUAAUUUCCUUGUUUUAUUUGGCUUGUAGUUGUAGCAGUUUACUAAACCACUAAUCUCUUUUUGACUGGUUCAUGCACAUUUGGAAACUUAUCAGUGCAAAUUACAUUUGUCACUUAUUCUUUCUUGAAUUCCCUGUUACUAAUAUAAAUCACUUUUUUGUGUAUUGUAUUUUCCUUGAGUUAAUAUUAACUAUUCAACUUGUAUUUGUUUAGUCAGUCAUAUGUUUUUCUCUUCAUUUAUUGUGAUUAAUUUGUUAUUGUAAUGUUACAGUUUUCACAUAAAGUCAUUCUAACUUAUUCAUUGUUUUUAAAGUAAGCAAAAACAUGAUUUGUGCAAUCAUAUGGCUAACCACCGUAUUCAUAAAAUGUAACAUUGCUUUACCUAGAGUAGAUUCAGAUAUAUUCAUUAGUCUUUUAAAAGAUUUGUGUUUAACACUAUUUAAUAGAACAGUACUGAAUAGAUAGUGUUUGGAAGAGAGCUUAUACAAUAGAUCGGUGCAUAGAUUAUAAGUAAAUAUGUAAUGUGUGUUCCUACAGUAACAAGAUGCAAUUUCACACUCGAGGCAUAAGAUAUUAUGAAGUCAUCAGAUGAUGGCAAGAAGGUGCUAACUCCAUGGACUUAAUACUUUCUAGUCCUAACAGUCGGUUACUAGUACCGCAAUGUACAAUGAGCAAAAAUUUGGCGGUGCAGGGUUAAUUUUUUUCUUCCCAAAACUUUGCUUGUUCUAAAUUUGAAGCAAUAUUCUAAGGAAGUCUUGCUUUGAUUUAGAUGCUCAAGACAGAAUCCAUUAUAUGUAACAAUAUUUGACUACAGUACAGUAUGGUAGAUUGAAUGUCUCACAUGGUGGCUUCUUUGGACACAAACAGUUUAAUGUUACAUAACGUGCAAUUGACAUGUGUACAGUACACUUUUUUAUGUUCGGUUGUAUAGUAUAAAGAAAACAAAGUUCCAUUCUAUUCUUAGAAUUUACUGUACUUGUGAAAGGGGUUAGAUGGACCUGUGUUUUCCAUCAAAUAAAAAACUUGGUCUGUUUGGGGCCAGAAGGGCAUUAACUCACAAACUUGUCAGAGUAAACGACCUUCUGGCUCUGAACAGACAGAAAGUAACAUAGAAGAUUUUGAUACUAAAGUUGAUGGAGAGGGAUUUGAUAGUGUAUUUUAUCUUUAUUUUAUGAAGUCUAUUUCUAGAACGUGUGAAGUAGAAGAUAUGUCUAAAAAUGGAAGUUUGUAGAAAAUGUUUAAAAGCUGAUAAUUCAAGUUUCUCUUAAUCUUGUCACUGUAAUUAUAUAUGUAAUUAAGAUGUAUUUUGUAAAGGUUUGUGGUAUGUACGAGUAGGUUCGAUUCUGCAAGGCACUGAGAUGGAUUAGAUUUUCUAUAGACAAUUUGCCUUUCUUAAAAACUUGUAAAACAUGUUCCAAAGUCCACUGUUUCAGCCUUUAGACUUUGAGAGUUGUUAUCCAUACAGUUUUACAAGAAAUAUGUGUGCACCUUGUACAAGAAAAUGUAUUAUCCCAAAGAGACCACCUUUCCUUAUCUCACCUCAUAAAUAUUGUUGUAAGACAUUAUGCUCUGGGAAGAAUUGCUCUGCUGUCUAUACCUGGGCAAGUUUUUAACUUCAAUCCUUGACUCAAUGCUAAACCUGCAUGUAACCCGAACCCUAAUCCUAACCCUAGCCCUGAAAAUGACCUGAAACUCCAUUGCUAACCAAGCCUGAAAUCCAUACCUUUCAUAGAAUAUAUCCCAGAGCAUAUGUCGUCAAAGCAGAUGACGAAUCGCAACUUGUACAUUAUACAUAAUGUUUCUUUAUUUCAUUCCACCUGUUGUUUUGUCUUGUCAGUUGUUGUUGUUGUUGUAUUUGUAUGUUAUUACAUUGUCUGUCCUGUUUAAGCACGUACUAAAACACAUGUACAUUUGGCUACUGUACAUUUGUCUAUUUUCUGAACUGUUUGGUUUUAAGAGUAUUUGUGAAUCUUGUUAUGAUCUGGCCCCAUAUUUGUAACACCUUACAAAGCUAGUCGUCGACUAAUUUACAGAGGUACUAUUUACUAUGGUACAGAUUUAGUCACAAUGAGCUAGGCAUAGUAAGGUUUUAUGAAUAUGAGCCCUGAUGUAUAGCAGGCCUUUUGUGAUCUUUAGCGAAUGCUCAAGAAGAGAUCUACCAGUAGUUCAAACUAUUGUUCAUUGAUCAAGCGUUUUAUCACAGAAAGCCUUGUAAUUACAUGUAUGUGGUAACACCGGUCACUUUGUAAUAUUAAAGUGUCUUAGAAGUCAUGUAUUACCUGUUGUAAAGCACAAAUACAGCUUUAAAAAGAUGUCACAAUAAUUACUUUUAUUGCAGUUCUGCAGGAAAAAAAAAGAGGAUCCUCACACAUAUGGUAUGGUUGGACGCAGAAGGGCGUUAACUCAUAUACUUUAACACAGAGUUAAUACCCUUCUGGAUCCAAACCUACAAUAUUUAUCUUGUGAAGUGGUUAUCUUUUUCUAAAGUGGUGUCUUUUUGUCAAAUUGUUUUUUUUUAAUGGAAUUUGUGUCUUUUUGUGAAGGGGAUGCAUCAUUUGAAAAGAAAUGUAGAGAGUCCGUUUCAAAGAGGCUAAUAUCAUAAUCUCUGAAAUAGAACUUGAGACCUUCUUGCAGUGAGCUUAUGAUAUUGUAAACAAAAACCAAAAGAUGUGGGUUUUUAUCAAAUUCGGAUGUGCUUUCUAAAUAAUCACGAGGGAACUCUGAACUGUGGGAAACCUUUAGUGUAUUUUUACAAUUGUAAGAUGUAAGAUUUAAGUUUUAAACCAUUGUAUAUGUAGACGGUCAUUUGAGAUCUAUAUUCAUACUGAUGUACACAUAGAUGUGCCUAGUCGGUAUAUAUGUAUUCACUUCGUAGACUUCAUAACCAUUCUGAAAUCUUUCAUGUAUUAUAUAAUUGCUGAUAUAAGCAAAGGGAAGUAUUGGUACUACAUUUUAAUAUUCUAACUUAAGACUGAACCGUUACAGUGCCACAAAGUUUACACACAAGCAUCAAGAAUAAGAUUGAUGAGAAAAAUUGUUAAUCACAUGGCUCCUUAUCUUUGUUCAUCAACUUAAUGUUGCAUUGAGGAUCUUGAUCUGAAUUUUGAUGAUGGAAAAACAAAACAAAAACAUGCAUUUAUUUGUCCCAAAAUAUUAAAUGCAAUAUAAAAAAUUGGGCAGUUUAAACAAUUUAUAGCACCAAAAGAGUUACUGUAUGUACAUAUACAUAUAGAAUGCAAUUUGUCAAUGUAUUUGCAGAUUGAAAUGUAUGAGGAGGAGGAGAAAGUGAAAAGUUUAUUGACCUUGCAACACACUUUCGGAGUAGAAAUAAAAGUGUGUUUAAUCAAGUGCCUGGUAAGCAAGUCUAAGUAAUAAUUGCUUAUUUCUCCUUGCCAUCAUGCAUGCCUAUUUGUGCUCCUUCUCGUUUGCUAAAUUUGACAUGUUUUUUCCACCAAAUUCUCUCCUUUUUUACUUGAUUGUUUCAGCUCAUCUUCUCAAGAUUUAAAAACAAUUGUUAAGGCCCAGUUAAAGUCGUUACGACACAGAUGAAUUCUACUUCACUGUUUACUUACUAGCAGUCAUAUACACUGUAUGUUGUAUGGUAAUUUGUACUGAUUCCCAUAAAGCAAUUAAGACUUAUUCAUAUUUUAAAGUAAUUAGGACUUAUUUACAUUUUAAAACUUAUUUAUAUAAGGUAAUAAACUAACAUUAUUUAUAAAUGGACAAGUAGCUCCUAUACGUUAACUUCUAGCAAGUAUGCAUUUGACAAAUCAUGAUUAGUAAGCGAAUCAAUGUAUAUUCUGCAACAAAUAUAUGUGUAUUCCCCAAAUACAUUAGAUUUAGCGUAUAAAGUUUGCUUAUUAUACUUCCACUGAAGAUAUAUUUUAUUAGCCAAAUUCAAAGGAAUGUUAAUUGAUUGUGGACAAAGCUCCAUGGUCUGUUGAUUGUUGAUUUAUUUGAACGAGUUAUUGCUUUGCAUUAUUUUUCAUCACUGUUGAUUUUCCCAUCUUUGCAUUAUCACUUAAGCAAGAUGCUUACAUAUUUGUUUGCAAUUUAAAUGGUUUUGAGGAUAUGUAUUUAAUCAAUUAAGUCAAAAUUGUGUAUUGUUCUUGGUUUUAAUUGAGGUAGUAAUUAUUGAAUAAAGAAUUUCAUGUGUGAA